CGCGGGGUGGAGCAGUCUGGUAGCUUGUCGGGCUCAUAACCCGAAGGUCGCAGGUUC
rnacentral:tRNA from 1 species